CAGGGGUUUCCGCUUUUGCUUCUCUCCUCAUUUUCUCCUGGCGCCGCCAUGUAAGAAGUGCCUUUUGCCUCCCGCCAUGAUUCGGAGGCCUCCCCAGCCAUGUGGAACUAUAUUUUCUAAAAGUAAAGACUUUAAAGAAAGGCACAGGAGGCUGGGAGCAGUGGCUUACAUUUGUAAUCCCAGCACUUUGCGGGGCUGAGGCCGGAGGACUGCUUGAGUCCAGGAGUUUGAGACCAGCCUGGGCAACACAGCUUGACUGUGCAUGACUGGAGACAGUGCGAGGUCGCCGAGUCCAUAAGCAGCAAGAAGGGCACACAGAAGGAGAAAGGAGAAGCUUGCUGCCGGAGGAGACAAACUGGACUUUACAGUGUUCUCCGGGGUGGGACCUGACUUUGACCUCAUGUAUACAGAUGGGCCUGACUGAGCUCAUCCAUGCUUAUGUCCGGGUGCUUAAGUCUUAUGGUAAUGUAUUUUUUUUUCAAUUGCCAUUGAAAGAUGUGAGAAAUGAAACAUGAAAAUAUUUAAUAAUUCAGCAUUUCCAAGUGUCUAGACUACUGAACAUAUUAUCCAAGAAAUUAUUUAGAAGAAAGGGAAAGGAAAUAGGCAAGAGAUUUUAUGAGUACUGACUAUGAAUCAGUUGUUUUCAGAGUUGUAUUUCUCACAGAAUAGAUACUAUUUUCCCUGUUUCACAGAUGACAAAUGUGAGGGUCAGAUAGAUUAGGAAACGUGCCCAAAGUUUCACAGCUAGUCAAUGAGAGAAAGCAUUUUCCAAGCCAGGUUCACUUGGCUGCAAAGCACUUACUCUUUCUGAUAUACAGCAUGCUGCCUAGAUGUUUUAGCACAUUUGGAUUACAAAAAUGUUAGAAAUAAAAUUAUGUUUGUGAAAGGAUGGGCAUUUAAAAAGCUCUGGGUUAUGGUUGUCUGUGGUUGAAAUUAUAAAAUGAUAGUUCCCCCCACACACAUACAGCAUACACACACACACACACACAGACACACACAUACACACACACAAAUGUGGGUUAUUAUGGCUGAGUCAUUGAAUUUAUUUGGAAGAACCAUCUUCUUUUGCAUGACAGAAUACAGAUGGCCAUAAACUAUUUACCCAGACAUUUUGGGGUUGAGGGAUGUAAUCAUCAUUUGAAACAAAAAUACAACUCUAGAAAUACAUAUGAAAGUGAAUUACUUUGUUAAUGUGAAAGGGAAAAGGGGGAAAAUGAAUAAAACAGCAAGAAUACAACUGAAAGGAGACUAAAAGGAACAAGGGCAAACUGUCUUUGAGCACAAGGCAUAUGCGUAUGCUACACAGAGCGUUGUUCUAGAAAUGUUUAUAAACAAUGGAUGUUUGUGGAAUGAAAAACUGAAUAGCUGUGAUAUUAAGGCUUUCCACUCCUGGGAAAAAUAUGGACACCAUGGCUUAUAAGUUAUUUGAUUCUGACAAGCAUCUUCCUACCUCCUCUAACAUUUGGUUAUAUUAACUAUAUUGGAGGCUUUUCCUUUUGUUACUCUGUGUUUCUGCCAUCUGAAAACAAUGAGCUUAAACAGCUAUCAUGCUGUCAUUUUGCCCUGUGAAUAGACUCGUUAAUAUAGAAACCUAAUGAAAUGAUUGUUUUAAAAAAAGAAAAAAAAUCCCAUUCUAUACGUGUUUUACUUCUUAAAAUGUCCCUAAAUUACAAAGAUUCUCUGAAAAGAUAAAAAAUAUCUCACAUAUUCAGAGGAUGACUUUAGCCCAUUGUUUCAGGGCUUUUUCAUGCCUUAUCUCCUUUUAAAAACCAUAACAGGCUGUGAAAAACAAAAUAAAUUAAGGAGAAUAGUUCCUUCCUUUUUAUGAUAAAUCUGCAUGUGGCGGUGACGGUCAAGUACAAACUGUAAAUAAGUGAAAUAACUCAUAACUAGUAAUAUACAGGUUAAUCAACUAUGAUUAAAAGUAAAUAGGUUUUUCACCAAGAACAAUAUCUUUAACUCAAAAUUAAAUAAUUGGCAGCAUGCUAGGUAAAUUAUAAAAUAAGGAAUUUCUAAAAGCAGAGAAUGAUGUUCUUUCUCCGUUGUCAAUCUGAUGAGUCUUGGUGACCUUUUGUUCACAUUAAUGCUGACAAACUGCAUCAUGCAUGACCGUCCCAACCCCCUUCUCCUCCCAAUAGUUCCUUCUUUGAUUCUAAUCUGUAUUCAAGGGUGUGGGGUGGGACACUUUAGUAAGGGGUGGGGGCGAGGGGAUGGCAAUGGUAGACGCUGGUCGGGGCUGUCAAUAACCUUGGAGGCCUUUGGGAAGAGCAGAGGACAAUAAUUUAUUGCAGUAUAGGAGAGACAGCUAGGAAGUAAUUCCUCCGUGUUACCUUUAUAAUUUGAGAAGGCGUCCAAAGAAAUAACACAUCAGAGUUCAGUGCUAUGAAGGAAAAAGCACUGGACAAGUUAUUUGGAUGGGUAUUCUUGGUUUUCUUGGUUACAAUUUAAGGCAAAUAUGAAACUCAAAAAGGUACCUUGGGACCAUCGUGUUCUUGGGAAGUUGACACAAGAACCACAACAGUUUAGAGAAACCCCUAAAUAUCCAUCUUAGAAAAAAAAAGUACACAUUUUUAGUUCUUAGGAGAAAGAGCAAUAGAUUUAUUUGAAUGAAAUAAUUAAUGAGUCAUGGUCCCCCAGACCUUUUUCAGGCAUGAAGCUAGCACUGAAUACUUUGUGCUUUCAAAGUUUCAAAUGACCUUCAGUUAAACUUUUAUAACAAGGUUCCUUUAAAACACAUUUAUGCUUUGCUAUUAACACUACUACCAAUAAUACAGUAAUUACUAAUAGUGGGUAGUAAUGGCAUUACAUAUGAAUCUCAGAAUUAAAAUUAGCUGUUCAUCUCCAUCCUUCCCAACAGCCUGAGAGUGUGUCAAGACAUGGGACCACACAGAAUCUUACUGUUUGUAUUUUCAACGUCUUGCGUACAGUGACAAUAAAUGAAUGAGAGUUUUAAAAAACUGUAUAUAAAGACUAUUGAGUCCUAUUACAAACACAUUGUUUACACACAUAUAAAUCUGUGCUAUGACACUAGGUAUAAGCAUACAGAGGACACCUAACUUCACUUGAAGUCUAAGUAAACACAAAACAUGGCCUACAGUGAUUUCCCUGAGUUGGAGAACCAUACACAUGUCUGGUUGUCCUUUGGACAAGCUGGUAACAUGAAAAAGAGGCAAGACCAAUGUAAACACUGAUAUAUUCAUGAUAAUGCAAAAACAUUAAGAUUCAUUAAAAUGUUACAAAUAAGAAAAUCACUUGUGUUUUGGUAUUUAUAUACUUGAAGGAAGUUUAUUUGGCAUUAUGGGAGUUUAUUACAUUUCUAAUCAAAGUCUACUGACGACUCGUGGAGGGAGAGGAAAGCUGUCAGGUUCUCUAACUUAUCCAUCUGUUCAUGCCUCCCCCCUGGAUGGCACCCGUUCUCCAAUGGAGAAGCGGAGCACUGGCCUCUUGAAAGCUGUCUUUCUGGCACUGCCUUCCUGAGCGAAUGAAAUGGUUUGGUUUAGAAUACCUUCCCUUUCAGUCCUGUCCCAGCUUCCAGAUGAAUGUCCUUAAUUUUAAAGAAGCACAGUCCAAUAGUUUCUAUGUUGCUGGAAGAAGAAAAUUAAAUUAUGUUGUAAUUAUGUAGUCAACUAGCAUAUGGUCCUUUACCGGGGAAAAGUAGUUUUUAACCUCUCCCGUAAACUCUAGAGGGAACUUACAGAAGAGAAAUUCAGGCACCAGGAAACACAUGUAUUCAUCAUUUUAUUGGUUCUUAAAAUUUACUGUGACAUGGGAGGAGAACCUAUCAUCCUGCAUACUCUCAUGAAUGUAGCAGAUGAAAUCCAGGAAAGUUUAAUCAAUAAAAAUGACAGUACAUAUAUUUUUGUAGUACUUAAAAGUUUAUAACACACAUGCAUUAUCUCAUGUGACCCUCACAAACAACUAAAACUAAGGGCAGGGAUGAUCUUCAAUUUCAAGAUAAGAAACCAGGCUUGAGGUUAUUAAACUUUUUUUUUAAGACAAAAAUCUCACUCAGACUAUUACAUCUUAAAAUGAGGGUUAAUCUGGAAAUAGGCCAGUCAGUAUGAACCUGUUUUUAAGAUCAUUCAGCUAGUUUGGAGGCAAAGUCAAGACACAAACUCUGCCUUCUCCAAGCAAAAUUAGCACUCUUCACAAAUUCCUAGAACUACAUCAGUAGUUCAUGGUCAUAGACUAUUUACGUAAGAUUUCCUGCUUUAUAGUUUGGUUUGUCAAUGCAGUGCUCUUAGUGGUGGGCAUAUUUUAAAAAAAUCACUUAAUAGAAGAAAUUAAACAAUAAUGGGAUCUAAACUAUUGGAAGAAACAGUUAAAAGUAGUUUUAAAAUAAGAGAGGGGAGAGCUGGACAUUAAAGUACUAAUUUUACUUCUGAAAUUAUUUUUUUCCAGCUUUCUACAUGGUGUUAUCUUAAUAUUUGAAACUCUUAAGAUGUCAGUUUGAAUCCCUGCAUUACAUUUUAUAUAAUUUCUGUUGGUAUUGCUCAUAGAGCUUAUGUGACUAAUUAAACCUCACUGCAAUUACUUUUCAAGCAGAAGCUGUAGUUUACUUAUUUCUCAACAAAAACUAUGAUCAUUUGCCUUGUUUCCCAUGCAUUAUUCGAUGACUGAUUACUGUUACAGCGUGGAUUAUGUUUUGUAUUCCGCAGCACGCAAGCAUUAAUCUUCACUUAUUCUGCAAUAGUAUAAUUCAUUAAAACACAUGCUUUGAAUUUGGGGCACAUACAAGAAGAUGUAACCACACAGAAUACAGUGCUUUUAUGACAAAACAUAAUUAAUAAAACAUAAAAUGUGUUUUAUGAAGUUAUGGUUUUAAUUUGCUAUCUCAAGAAAU
rnacentral:lncRNA from 1 species